UACGUAGGGGGCAAGCGUUGUCCGGAUUUAUUGGGCGUAAAGAGCGUGUAGGCGGCCAGACAGGUCCGUUGUGAAAACUCGAGGCUCAACCUCGAGAUGUCGAUGGAAACCGUCUGGCUAGAGUCCGGAAGAGGAGUGUGGAAUUCCUGGUGUAGCGGUGAAAUGCGCAGAUAUCAGGAAGAACACCCGUGGCGAAAGCGGCUCUCUGGGACGGUACUGACGCUGAGACGCGAAAGCGUGGGGAGCGAACAGG
rnacentral:rRNA from 1 species